rnacentral:rRNA from 1 species
GUCUACAGUCAUACCACCCUGAAUAUGCCUAACCUCAUCUGAUCUUAGAAGUUAAGCAGUGUUGGACCUGGUUAGCACUUGAAUGUGAGACAAAUCAAAUGUCCAUAUAUGUAUGUU